AAAAAAAAACUUUUUACCGUGGGGACGAUAAACUUAAUAGAGACGGAAAUAAUAAUAAUAUUAGUACUACUGCUACAGUAAGUGCUUAUUAUAAUAACAACACAAACGAUUAUAAUAUAAAUAAAGAAUGUAAUAAUAGAAACAUGAAUAUAACCUAUAAAUAUGGUCAACAUGAAAAUAAAAACAAGAGCCAACCACUUGAUGUGAAUAAAAACAUACAUGAUGUAGGGCGACUUGAAAAUAAAUAUUAUAAAAAAUAUAAAAAUAACGAUGGUAAGGAUGAGAAUUAUUAUAAUACUAAAAGAAAUAAACGAAAGUAUGAAAAAGAAGAAGAUGAAAGCGAAGACCAAGACCAAGACCAAGACCAAGACCAAGACCAAGACCAAGACCAAGACCAAGAACAAGACGAACAUAAAAAAAGGAAUCCCUAUGUGAGGAGUAACGAAAAAAAAUAUAUGAACAACAAAAAUGAAGGAAAUAAUAAUAAUUCUUAUUAUUAUGAUAAAAACAUAAAAAAUAAAGAUUUCGACAAAAAUAACAGUCGAAAUUUUGUUAAUAAGCAAAAUAUGACAAAUUAUAAUGAACAAAACAGUGAGUAUAACAAUAAAAAUAAUAAAUAUGGAAAUUAUACUUAUAGAACUAGAGACGAUAAAAAACAUAAAUCAUCUGUAUAUGUGAAUUCGAAAAAUAAUGUAAUCGAUGAAACAAAUAUUGCGGAUGAUAUGAAUAGUAAUAGUAAUAGUAAUAGUAAUAAUGCACAAUAUAAUCAUAUAAAAAACAAAAGACAUAAAAUUAAUUAUUACAAUCUUGAUAACAGUAAUAAUGAUACUAGUAGUGGUAACUAUAAGAGUGGCAGUAACUAUAAUAGGGAGUACAGUACUCAUGGACUAAACGAAUACAAGGGUUAUAAUAAUGGCAUUAAUAAUUGUGGUAACAAAAAUAGUAUAGAAGAUAUUUUAGAUAAUAAAUAUAAUAUUGAAUUAUCUCGAUUUAUUUUUAUAUAUAAAAUGAUGAAUAAUAUAACUGAAGAGGAGGUAGACGAAAUAAUAAGAAAUAUUGCAAUUAGUAACGCUUUUUCCUUACCCAUUAAUAUUUAUAUAAACAAAUUAUCUUAUUUUUGUUUAAAAGAAGAACUAUUUGUUAAAGAAGGGUUGGAAUUUUUAAAAAACAAUUCUUAUUUUAACAUGAUACAACAAAAAGUUUUAAGUACUCAAUUGACAAAUACAAUUAACGAUGAUACUUGUUGCAUUGUUGAAUUCCCUUCUAAUGAAGCGAGUUAUAAAUUAUUUUCACUUUUUGAACAAAAUGAAUAUAUGAUUCAGAUAAAAAAUUGUAUUUCUUACAUUUUUCCAUUAUUUAAAUUAAAAAAAAAAAAUAAAAUAAUUGAAGAAAAAAUACCAAUGCCCAAAAAAUAUUAUGAUUGGUAUUGUCCUGGUUGUAAUUUUUUAAAUUUUGCAAAACGCACUAUUUGUUUUUUUUGUAAAUGCGUUAAAACUAAUGAUGUACAAAUAGUAGAAAAUGAUGUAAUGGGAGCUGGUGGGGGUAUAUAUAUAAAAAGUGGUUUAAAUGAUAAAGAUAAAUCAUAUAUGUCGCUAGGUUGUGGUAAUAUAAAUGAUGAACAAACUGUUAUUGCUGAUUCUAUUGGUUUACCAAAUGUAUAUAUGAAUAGUAAUAACACAGGUAGUAGUAGUAGUAGUAGUAGUAUUACUACUACUACUAGUAUUAAUAAUAACAAUGUAAAACAACAACAGUAUAAAACCAUGAUAUGCCAUUCAAAUAUUGGUCACUAUGAUAAUAUGAGUAGUACUGAAGAAUCUAAUAAUAUGACACAUAAUAACAUGGGUAGUAGCGAUAAUAGUGGCACUACAUGUGUAGAUAAUUUGAAAAGUAAAUUAAAUAAAACAGAAAAUAAUAACUACGUCGGAAAUAAGGAUUAUUCUAAUGCCUAUUCUCCUUUAGCAUCUUUUUAUCGAUUUGAUACUAACAUGGACAACUUUGCAACUACAGUAAACGAAAUAAUAAUGGAUGACGAAAAAACAAAUAUGCUUAUUUUGAAAAAUAUAAAUGGAAGUAUAUCCAAUAAAGACAUUAUAAAAUUUUUGAAUAGUGUAUUUCAAAAUAGAAAUGUUCAAUUUUUAUAUUUAUUUAAUGAUUUAAAAGGGUCGAACAAACAUAAGGGAUUUUGUUUGGUUGAGUUUACUAGUUAUAGUUCUGCUAAUAAAAUGAUGAAAGAGUUAGAAAAUAAUUAUUAUAUAAAAUUUCAUAAUGACUAUCUAAAAUUAGAUUUUAUAUAUGAGAAAGAAAAAGAAGUUUUUUUUAAUUGUACUUAUUUGGCUAAAUUAAAUAUAAAUAAAACUUCUGCUAUUGUUAUUAAACAUCAUAUACCAUAUUUUAAUUUCUCUGUUAAUUAUAUUGAGGCUAUUGUUAAUAGCAAUAUAAUUAAUUAUAUAUAUUUUUUAUUAUGGUCAUCUCAAAUUAUCAUUUUGAAAGAAGCAACAGAAAAAAAAACGAAUAAACAAAAUAAAGAACCGCAAUUAAACGAAUUCUUUUUUGAUCCAAAUAGUCAAUAUUAUUACCACCCCGUGCAUCAAAUUUAUUUUGAUAAAAAUACAAAUUUUUACAUGUCUUUAUCUAAAGGCUAUUACGUAUGGAAUGACACAGCAAAUUGUUUGGUUCGGUUUUAUUUGGAGAAUGAGCAAGAUGGUGUUACUUUAUCUAGUUCUCAUGCUCAUGAUCAGGUGACUACCGCUGCUAUUGCUACAGUUGCUACAAAUAUGGCUGAUAUGACUGAUAUGGUUGAUAUGAUUGAUACUGCUGCUGCUGCUGCUGCUACUACUAAUUCGCAAAGACAUGAUCAGUUUAUCAAAAAUGAGACAAACGCGGACGUUAAUGUAAACGAAGGUGUAGCUGAAUGGAAUAAAACAAAUAAUGUAAGUGAUGUUGGGUGCAGAAAUGUCGCAUGUCAAGGAGGUGUCAAAGAUGCUAAACCAGACGAAACAAACACAUUUCCUGAUGAUUCUCAUCACAAUCUGAACAGUAAAGAAGAUAAUAAGAACACAUCGAGUAGUAAAAUAAAAAGCUUCAUACAAAAAGCUAAAAUAAUAGCUUUGACAACAAAAAAA
ensembl:lncRNA